rnacentral:rRNA from 1 species
UCGAACGCGAAAGUCCCCUUCGGGGGAUAAGUAGAGUGGCGUCCGGGUGAGUAACACGUAGGUAAUCUACCUUCGGGUGGGGAAUAACCCAGGGAAACUUGGGCUAAUACCGCAUAAUGCAGCGGCACCACAUGGUGACAGUUGUUAAAGCGGGGGAUCUUCGGAUCUCGCGCCUGAAGAGGAGCCUGCGGCAGAUUAGCUAGUUGGUAGGGUAACGGCUUACCAAGGCGACGAUCUGUAGCCGGCCUGAGAGGGCGGUCGGCCACACUGACACUGACAUACGGGUCAGACUCCUACGGGAGGCAGCAGUCGGGAAUUUUGGGCAAUGGGCGAAAGCCUGACCCAGCAACGCCGCGUGAAGGAUGAAAUCCUUCGGGAUGUAAACUUCGCAAGAAUGGGAAGAAUUAGUAGGGGCUAAUACCCUCUAUGAUGACGGUACCAUUUGUAAGCUCCGGCUAACUCCGUGCCAGCAGCCGCGGUAAUACGGGGGGAGCAAGCGUUGUUCGGAUUUACUGGGCGUAAAGGGCGCGUAGGCGGUCAGCACAAGUCAGUUGUGAAAUCUCCGGGCUUAACUCGGAAAGGUCAACUGAUACUGUGCGACUAGAGUGCGGAAGGGGCAACUGGAAUUCUCGGUGUAGCGGUGAAAUGCGUAGAUAUCGAGAGGAACACCUGCGGCGAAGGCGGGUUGCUGGGCCGACACUGACGCUGAUGCGCGAAAGCCAGGGGAGCGAACGGGAUUAGAUACCCCGGUAGUCCUGGCCUUAAACGAUGGAUGCUUGGUGUCUGGAGUUUUAUAGUCUCCGGGUGCCGUAGCUAACGCGUUAAGCAU